UGGUGGAUUGAUUUGUCUGGUUGAUUCCGAUAACGAACGAGAUCUCCGCAAGAUACCUGGUCCGCAAGAUACCUGGUCUGAAAGGGUCAUUUCCCUUCUCAGUCAGUUUCUGGACAGUGCAUGGCAAGUGCAAGGAAGUGGAGGCAAUAACA
rnacentral:rRNA from 1 species